rnacentral:rRNA from 1 species
GACGAACGCUGGCGGCGUGCUUAACACAUGCAAGUCGAACGGGCCUUGUCCCCUUUUUUUUUGGGGGUGGGGUUAGUGGCGAACGGGUGAGUAACACGUGAGUAACCUGCCCCUCACUUCUGGAUAACCGCUUGAAAGGGUGGCUAAUACGGGGUGUUCUGGCCUGCUCGCAUGGGUGGGUUUGGAAAGAUUCGACCGGUUUUGGUUGUUUUGGUGGGGGAUGGGCUCGCGGCCUAUCAGCUUGUUGGUGGGGUGAUGGCCUGCCAAGGCUUGGACGGGUAGCCGGCCUGAGAGGGUGGGCGGUCACACUGGGACUGAGACACGGCCCAGACUCCUACGGGAGGCAGCAGUGGGGAAUAUUGCACAAUGGGCGCAAGCCUGAUGCAGCGACGCCGCGUGAGGGAUGGAGGCCUUCGGGUUGUGAACCUCUUUCGCCAGUGAAGAAGGUCCUGCUCUUUGUGGUGGGGUUGACGGUAGCUGGGUUAAUGAAGCGCCGGCUAACUACGUG